rnacentral:rRNA from 1 species
UCCUAGCUGUAAACGCUGCAGGCUUGGUGUUGGGACUCCUUCGAGGGGUCUCAGUGCCGUAGCGAAGGUGUUAAGCCUGCUGCUUGGGGAGUACGGCCGCAAGGCUGAAACUUAAAGGAAUUGGCGGGGGAGCACAGCAACGGGAGGAGCGUGCGGUUCAAUUGGAUUCAACGCCGGAAAACUCACCAGGAGCGACUGGUACAUGAAGGCCAGGCCGAUGAUUCCUGAUUUCC